rnacentral:rRNA from 1 species
AAGAUGAAGUUUUCGGAUGGAAUCUUGAUUGACUGAGUGGCGGACGGGUGAGUAACGCGUGGAUAACCUGCCUCACACUGGGGGAUAACAGUUAGAAAUGACUGCUAAUACCGCAUAAGCGCACAGUGCCGCAUGGCAGUGUGUGAAAAACUCCGGUGGUGUGAGAUGGAUCCGCGUCUGAUUAGCCAGUUGGCGGGGUAACGGCCCACCAAAGCGACGAUCAGUAGCCGACCUGAGAGGGUGACCGGCCACAUUGGGACUGAGACACGGCCCAAACUCCUACGGGAGGCAGCAGUGGGGAAUAUUGCACAACGGGCGAAAGCCUGAUGCAGCGACGCCGCGUGAGUGAAGAAGUAUUUCGGUAUGUAAAGCUCUAUCAGCAGGGAAGAAAAUGACGGUACCUGACUAAGAAGCCCCGGCUAACUACGUGCCAGCAGCCGCGGUAAUACGUAGGGGGCAAGCGUUAUCCGGAUUUACUGGGUGUAAAGGGAGCGUAGACGGCGAAGCAAGUCUGAAGUGAAAACCCAGGGCUCAACCCUGGGACUGCUUUGGAAACUGUUUUGCUAGAGUGUCGGAGAGGUAAGUGGAAUUCCUAGUGUAGCGGUGAAAUGCGUAGAUAUUAGGAGGAACACCAGUGGCGAAGGCGGCUUACUGGACG